UUUUUACCUCAAAACCUGCACUUUUUACCUCAGGAUUUCCUCCCACACCCCAAAAUCUGCCUUUUUCACCCCAAAAUCUGCCUUUUCACCCCAAAAUCUACAUUUUUUACCUCAAAAUCUGCAUUUUUACCUCAAAAUCUGCAUUUUUUACCCCAAAAUCUGCAAUUUUUACCUCAGGAUUCCCUCCCACACCCCAAAAUCUGCCUUUUUCCCCAAAAAAUCUGUCCCCAGAUCCCAAAAAUCUGCAUUUUUUACCUCAAAACCUGCACUUUUUACCUCAGGAUUUCCUCCCACACCCCAAAAUCUGCCUUUUUCACCUCAAAAUCUGUCCCCAGACCCCAAAAUCUGCCUUUUUCACCUCAAAAUCUGCCUUUUCACCCCAAAAUCUGCCUUUUUUACCUCAAAAUCUGCAAAUUUUACCUCAGAAUCUGCAAUUUUUACCUCAAAAUCUGCAAUUUUUACCUCAGGAUUUCCUCCCACACCCCAAAAUCUGCCUUUUCACCCCAAAAAAUCUGCACCCAGACCCCAAAAAUCUGCAUUUUUCACCCCAAAAUCUGCAAUUUUUACCUUAGAAUUUCUUCCCACACCCCAAAAUGUGCAUUUUUCACCCCAAAAUCUGUCCCCAGACCCCAAAAUCUGCAUUUUUACCUCAAAAUCUGCAAUUUUUACCUCAGGAUUUCCUCCCACACCCCAAAAUCUGCCUUUUCACCCCAAAAUCUGCAUUUUUUACCUCAAAACCUUCAAUUUUUACCUCAGGAUUUCCUCCCACACCCCAAAAUCUGCCUUUUUCACCCC
rnacentral:lncRNA from 1 species